rnacentral:rRNA from 1 species
CAACGCGCAGAACCUACCAGCUUUGACAUGUCCGGUUUGAUCGAUCAGAGAUGUCUUUCUUCAGUUCGGCUGGCCGGAACACAGGUGCUGCAUGGCUGUCGUCAGUCGUGUCGUGAGAUGUUGGGUUAAGUCCCGCAACGAGCGAAACCCUCGCCCCUAGUUGCCAUCAUUCAGUUGGGAACUCUAGGGGGACUGCCGGUGAUAAGCCGCGAGGAAGGUGGGAUGACGUCAAGUUCCUCAUGGCCCUUACAGGCUGGGCUACACACGUGCUACAAUGGCGGUGACAAUGGGCAGCGAAAGGGUGACCUCGAGCUAAUCCCAAAAAGCGUCUCAGUUCAGAUUGUACUCUGCAACUCGAGUACAUGAAGGUGGAAUCGCUAGUAAUUAAGGUUCUUCGCGAUA